rnacentral:rRNA from 1 species
CAUAGACAAGAGCCAGACCCAAAGAUACCUUCUUCAAAUUACAACUCGGACACUGAAAGUGCCAGAUUUCAAAUUUGAGCUUUUGCCGCUUCACUCGCCGCUACUAAGGCAAUCCCUGUUGGUUUCUUUUCCUCCGCUUAUUGAUAUGCUUAAGUUC